rnacentral:rRNA from 1 species
AUUGAACGCUGGCGGCAUGCCUUACACAUGCAAGUCGAACGGUAACAGGUCUUCGGAUGCUGACGAGUGGCGAACGGGCGAGUAAUACAUCGGAACGUGCCCGAUCGUGGGGGAUAACGGAGCGAAAGCUUUGCUAAUACCGCAUACGAUCUACGGAUGAAAGCAGGGGACCGCAAGGCCUUGCGCGGACGGAGCGGCCGAUGGCAGAUUAGGUAGUUGGUGGGAUAAAAGCUUACCAAGCCGACGAUCUGUAGCUGGUCUGAGAGGACGACCAGCCACACUGGGACUGAGACACGGCCCAGACUCCUACGGGAGGCAGCAGUGGGGAAUUUUGGACAAUGGGCGAAAGCCUGAUCCAGCCAUGCCGCGUGCAGGAUGAAGGCCUUCGGGUUGUAAACUGCUUUUGUACGGAACGAAAAGACUCUUUCUAAUAAAGAGGGUCCAUGACGGUACCGGAAGAAUAAGCACCGGCUAACUACGUG